rnacentral:rRNA from 1 species
GAUGAACGCUAGCGAUAGGCCUAACACAUGCAAGUCGAGGGGCAGCACGGGAGUAGCAAUACAACUGGUGGCGGCCGGCGCACGGGUGAGUAACGCGUAUGUAAUCUACCUACAACAGGGGGAUAACCCGGAGAAAUCCGGACUAAUACCGCAUAAAACAGGGGUCCCGCCUGGGACUAUUUGUUAAAGAUUUAUCGGUUGUAGAUGAGCAUGCGUUCCAUUAGAUAGUUGGUAAGGUAACGGCUUACCAAGUCAGCGAUGGAUAGGGGAACUGAGAGGUUUGUCCCCCACACUGGAACUGAGACACGGACCAGACUCCUACGGGAGGCAGCAGUGAGGAAUAUUGGUCAAUGGGCGAGAGCCUGAACCAGCCAAAUCGCGUGAAGGAAGACUGCCUUAUGGGUUGUAAACUUCUUUUACAGGGGAAUAAAAAGACAUACGAGUAUGUCAUUGCAUGUACCCUGUGAAUAAGCAUCGGCUAACUCCGUGCCAGCCGCCGCCGUAA